UACGAUAAGGGCAAACCCUGAGUGAUCAGGGGACGCAAAGUAACAGGGUCUUGAGAAUGACAAGGACGUAGUUUGCUAAAGACUUGCUUGCGGGUGAAAAGACAGCCUUACUGCCGAAG
rnacentral:ncRNA from 1 species